rnacentral:ncRNA from 2 species
UGCUUUCCAGUGUUAUUAGGUGCUAUUGCUCAAUAGGGAAUUCCGUGAAAAUCGGAAACGGGCCCACCGCUGUGAUCGAGGACGAACACUGCAAUAUAUGCCACUGGAUUUAAUAUCCGGGAAGGCGCAGUCAGUAGAAUGAUCCGAAAGUCAGAAGACCUGCCUGAUGAACAGAGAUGAU